AGAGACAGCUUAACAACUGCCCGACCAUCACCUGAUGGUCUCCUGAUUUUCCUGUGGUUGGGAGGGGCUCUCCUGCCCUUCUCAUGUCUGCGGCUACCCACUGUAACAACACUGCCACGCAGGCUCUGCAUCAGGACACCCACUGCGGCUUCUGGCACGAGACAAGAUCCAGGGUCGCCGAGGAGGCGAGGAGGGAAAGAAGGGGACACAGGUUGGUGGCUGUCGGGUUUGCUGUGUCGAUCAGCUUCAGCAGGACGGAGGGCGCGAGCGCGGGAGAAAGGGCGCAGCGAGGAUGGCAGGAACCUUGCAGGCCUCGGGCUUUGCCCCCCUACCGCGGGUUUGCGCUCACCCCUUUUCCCGGGGCUGCGCAAGCCUGGCCUCAUAGGUACUCCGCAGGGGGGAAGCUCGGAGGUGCGGGUGUCCACGUCGUUAGGGCUGCCACGGCUGCGGUCGCUGCUAAACUCAGAUAAGAUCAAAGCCCAGGUGGGGGCCGGCGGCCUAAUCCGCUACGGCUCCGGGUCCCCGGCGGCCCCAGCACUGCGCGGACAGCGGCUGGCGGCGGAGCCGGGGCGAUCUCGGGCCAGCGGUGGCUCAGCGCCCUGCGCCAGCUCCCGGAACCAGAACAGCCCGGCAGAGCAGCGGGGCCACCGACCCGGCCGGGAAGGUCACCUGCUCAAUGAAGGCGGCCCAGGCGGCGACUUCUGUCUUGUAAAUGCCCUGGGUGACCCCAGUGCAAAGGGGGGUCCUGGGGGGAGCAAUCGGAGGCACCCCGCUCCCAACUCCCGGGGCAUUUAUUUGAAAUGUUAAUGUUUUGAAGUUUCCCCUUCAAAAUGGCCCAGAUCAGUCUCCUAGAAGGCAGGCAGAAGCCUCUGUGGGAUUAAUAAACAAACCGCCUCUGACUUGGGUGCGAACCGGGUAAAACAUGCGUUGGUAUAAGCGAGAGAGGCCGGUGUACGCCGACGAACCGGGUAAAUGAUUACACAGCCCCGACCCCUCACCUUAGCAUAUCUUUGGUGCACCGAUUCCGGGAGUUGAAGUUUCCCCGGUCCAUAGACAUGUCCUUGACACCCUCCGCCCCCGCGCAGGCACCGCGGAAUCCAGGUCACAGGUGGGGGCGGGGCGGCUCAGCUCCCGCAGAGCCCAACCCCGGCCCACCCCCACACCCCCACCCCCCGGGCCGCAGUCUUCACGCAGGUCCUGCUGGGCCGCAGCCCGGCCUGCACUCCGCCGCCAAGUCGCCCCCACGCCUUGGGACGUCUGUGGGUAGCCCUGACCACGCGGGGUCGGGUGUCCCUGGCCGGGAGGCCGCCGCGCCCAGGGAGGACACAGAGGGUGUCACAGCGGGAGCUUUUUAAAAACCCUGGCAUGUGUUUCCCUGUCCACAUUGGAUAGUUUGUCGAGUUAUUGCCAAAAUUAACUAGUCAGAUCCCUUGCCCAGCUCAGCCGCUGGCGAUGGUAAUCAUACCCGCACACACUUUGGGAGCGCUGACACUGCCGGGAGCUGUUCCAAGCUCUUCUCAUGGAUUAACCUGUGAUAAGGUGACCAAAGUCAGUCAUCUGGCUUCUCUCGAGAACUGGCAGGUCACCUGCCCUCCACUCGCCUGGUGGGGUGAGAGUAAAUUGGUGCACGCUCCCCUGUUGGAUAUGGGGUCCAAGCUGCAGAGACAUGAUUGCCAAGGGCCCAGGGCUCCUGUGUGCUAGAGAGGGGCUGGGUAGGGCAUCAGGCGCCGUCCUGAUUCUGGAACGUUUUUAGGCCCCACUGCAGUUCUCCAACUUCAAUGUUCUCUAAUCCCUGAAAUCUUCCAAGCUGCCUGAGCUUCCAAAAGCUUUCCCCUCAAGCUGGGCGAAUCCAAUAGAGAAGUGAUCAUUUUUCAACCAGGGGAGCCAAUACUCAUACAUAAUGAAGGCGAGUUACACAAAGGACAGAAUUCUUUCCACUCUCCUAGGAGAGGUCCCUCUGCUCAGGGAAUCUGCAGGGCUGCCCAAAUGACCCAAACUAUGUAUGGGCCAGGCUAGGGGCAAAUCAGAGGAAUGGGGGCAAGCUGAGGAGCUUCUCUGCCUACUCAGUGCCUGGAGUUCUUCACACAAGGAGAUCCCCUCCCAGGUUAUUCCUGAGCACUUCUCAGAAAGCACAGUUCCUCCCUUUUAUUUUUAUUUAUUUAUUUAUUUUAAGACUGAGUCUCACUCUGUCGCCCAGGCUGUAGUGCAGUGACACAAUCUUGACUUACUGCAACCUCCACCUCCCGGGUUCAAGCGAUUCCUCUGCCUCAGCCUCCCAGGUAAUUGGGACUACAGGCACGCACCACCAUGCCUGGGGAAUUUUUGUAUUUUUAGUAGAGAUGGGGUUUCAUCAUAUUGGCCAGGUUGGUCUUGAACUCCUGACCUGGUGAUCCGCUUGCCUCUGCCUCCCAAAGUGCUGGGAUUACAAGCAUGAGCUCCUGCCCCUGGGCCAGUUCCUCCCUUUGCCCAGGGGCCAAUUGCAGAGCCCAUGGCCUAGCCGUGGGACAUUGCUGUGAAGGAAGAGCCGCUUAUGGUAGAGGAGCUCCCUCCAGGCCCCAGCAAUGCAUCUGGAUGCUGUCAAGAACCAAGUGGGCAGGGCAAGAAGAAACAUGGCCUGGUUAAGACAAGGCACUGUGACCUUGACUUCGACAACCUGGCCUUGUGGAUGUUCUGUCUGCCCUACCGUUUGCUGCUCAUAAAUACCUGAUCUCCCCCAGGCCAAAGGCUCUCCACCUACCAUUUCCUCACUCCUCCUUGAACUUGGCUUCUUCCUCCAAACAGCUUUGAGUUCUCAGCCUUGAUUCUCACUCCUCCAGGCUUGUGCCUCUGGCUUGAAAGGACAACAGAAGGAUGUGGUUUCUCUACCUGGCUUGAUAUUCUGGGAUCUGCAUCAGAGAAGUGGUAGGAUAAUGCAGCCCUGAUAAGGAGAUGAGGCAUCAAUGACAAUGUAAAUUACAAUGCAGGGAAAUCUGCACUGUGGCUGGCAAAGACUAGGGCUCAGGAAAUGGUAGCCUUCUCCCUAGGUAAGAAUAGAGCAACUCAGCACCUAGGGGGCUGCUUGCCUUUGUUCUUUUAUUUAAAAAAUUUUUUUAGAGACAGGACCUUGCUCUGUCACUCAUGUGGUGGUGCAGUGGCAUGAUCAUAGCUCACU
rnacentral:lncRNA from 1 species